GACGAACGCUGGCGGCGUGCUUAACACAUGCAAGUCGAACGGUAAGGCUCCAGCUUGCUGGGGUACACGAGUGGCGAACGGGUGAGUAACACGUGGGUGACCUGCCCUGCACUUCGGGAUAAGCCUGGGAAACUGGGUCUAAUACCGGAUAGGACCGCACCGUGAGGGUGUGGUGGAAAGUUUUUUCGGUGUGGGAUGGGCCCGCGGCCUAUCAGCUUGUUGGUGGGGUAAUGGCCUACCAAGGCGGCGACGGGUAGCCGGCCUGAGAGGGUGGACGGCCACAUUGGGACUGAGACACGGCCCAGACUCCUACGGGAGGCAGCAGUGGGGAAUAUUGCACAAUGGGCGGAAGCCUGAUGCAGCGACGCCGCGUGGGGGAUGACGGCCUUCGAGUUGUAAACUCCUUUCACCAUCGACGAAGGGUUUCUGACGGUAGAUGGAGAAGAAGCACCGGCUAACUACGUGCCAGCAGCCGCGGUAAUACGUAGGGUGCGAGCGUUGUCCGGAAUUACUGGGCGUAAAGAGCUCGUAGGUGGUUUGUCGCGUCGUCUGUGAAAUUCCGGGGCUUAACUCCGGGCGUGCAGGCGAUACGGGCAUAACUUGAGUACUGUAGGGGAGACUGGAAUUCCUGGUGUAGCGGUGAAAUGCGCAGAUAUCAGGAGGAACACCGGUGGCGAAGGCGGGUCUCUGGGCAGUAACUGACGCUGAGGAGCGAAAGCAUGGGGAGCGAACAGGAUUAGAUACCCUGGUAGUCCAUGCCGUAAACGGUGGGCGCUAGGUGUGGGUUUCCUUCCACGGGAUCCGUGCCGUAGCUAACGCAUUAAGCGCCCCGCCUGGGGAGUACGGCCGCAAGGCUAAAACUCAAAGGAAUUGACGGGGGCCCGCACAAGCGGCGGAGCAUGUGGAUUAAUUCGAUGCAACGCGAAGAACCUUACCUGGGCUUGACAUAUACAGGAUCGCGCCAGAGAUGGUGUUUCCCUUGUGGCUUGUAUACAGGUGGUGCAUGGUUGUCGUCAGCUCGUGUCGUGAGAUGUUGGGUUAAGUCCCGCAACGAGCGCAACCCUUGUCUUAUGUUGCCAGCACGUUGUGGUGGGGACUCGUAAGAAACUGCCGGGGUUAACUCGGAGGAAGGUGGGGAUGACGUCAAAUCAUCAUGCCCCUUAUGUCCAGGGCUUCACACAUGCUACAAUGGUCGGUACAGUGGGUUGCCAGUCCGUGAGGGCGAGCUAAUCCCGCAAAGCCGGUCUCAGUUCGGAUCGGGGUCUGCAACUCGACCCCGUGAAGUCGGAGUCGCUAGUAAUCGCAGAUCAGCAACGCUGCGGUGAAUACGUUCCCGGGCCU
rnacentral:rRNA from 1 species